rnacentral:rRNA from 1 species
CGAAAGCCUGACGGAGCAAUACCGCGUGAGGGAAGAAGGCCCGUGGGUCGUAAACCUCUUUUCUUAGGGAAGAACAAUGACGGUACCUAAGGAAUAAGCAUCGGCUAACUCCGUGCCAGCAGCCGCGGUAAUACGGAGGAGGCAAGCGUUAUUCGGAAUUAUUGGGCGUAAAGCGUCCGCAGGGGGCUCAUCAAGUCUGCUGUCAAAGGUCGGAGCUCAACUCCGGUUCGGCAGUGGAAACUGGUGGGCUAGAGGGCGACAGGGGUAGAGGGAAUUCCCAGUGUAGCGGUGAAAUGCGUAGAGAUUGGGAAGAACACCGGUGGCGAAAGCGCUCUACUGGGUCGCACCUGACCCUCAGGGACGAAAGCUAAGGUAGCG